AAAGGGAUGACGGGAGCUGUAUGAAAGCGGAAGAGUUAUAGACCGCUAACACCUGUCACUGGCCACUGGUUUCCCGGAGUUAGCGGCAACGACCUUGCAGCCUGGACACUAGCCAGGCGCUCCCUCUUCUCACAGCGGCCCACGUCUCCUUGCUUGGGAGCCCAUCGUCCUGGCUCCGGUGGCCUCGCUGGGUCUCGGGGAAGCAGAGGACUGUUCAUUCCUGUGGCGAAAAGCCGGAGUCGGCCCUAGACACCCACGACUCGCAGGGUCCAUGGUUCCGGAGGCCGUGAGACCUGCCGGGGCUGACAGUAAAGAAGCUAAGUGGAAGAGUGUUUCCUCC
rnacentral:lncRNA from 1 species